rnacentral:rRNA from 1 species
GAUGAACGCUAGCGGCAGGCUUAACACAUGCAAGUCGAGGGGCAGCACAAGGCAGCAAGUGCUGAGGUGGCGACCGGCGCACGGGUGCGUAACGCGUAUCCAACCUUCCCGUUACUCUUGGAUAGCCUUCCGAAAGGGAGAUUAAUACAAGAUGGUGUUGAAAUUCCGCAUGUUAUUUCAACUAAAGAUUUAUCGGUAACGGAUGGGGAUGCGUGACAUUAGAUAGAUGGCGGGGUAACGGCCCACCAUGUCCACGAUGUCUAGGGGUUCUGAGAGGAAGGUCCCCCACACUGGUACUGAGACACGGACCAGACUCCUACGGGAGGCAGCAGUGAGGAAUAUUGGUCAAUGGGCGAGAGCCUGAACCAGCCAAGUCGCGUGAGGGAUGACGGUACUAAGUAUUGGUAAACCUCUUUUUGUCCAAGGGAAUAACAUCACCUACGUGUAGGUGCCUGCAUGUACCGUAUGAAUAAGCAUCGGCUAACUCCGUGCCAG